rfam:Mus musculus chromosome 3, GRC primary reference assembly.
AAGUGAACAGAGGUCUUUUAGAAUAUUUUCUAACAGGAUUUCUGACCUUGGCCAGAAAUCCCAA